ACGGGCUGCUUGCAGACCGGACCGUCUCUGCUUUAGAGACGCUAACCUGUAUGAGCAAGAAGGCCGGUAGGCCGGAUUGCGAAUGCAGGUCGGAUCGCAUGAGUGCGCAGCACGGAGCGGUCCGAGGGC
rnacentral:sRNA from 1 species